GCAAGGAGCGCACGUAAUCUGCUUCAUCUGCCGAUCUACUUAAGCGCAGCCAUGGAGGAAAGUCAGUUCUUGACCGAUAAAGGUGAACAGUCAGAGCUGCUUCUGAGCAGCACAGUCGACAGCAAC